ensembl:lncRNA
GUUUUUUUCUUAAUUUUGGAAAAGAUGGCAGCAGAGUAUAAAAAAGAAAAUGAAAAUCUCCAGGUGCCGGAGCUCGGGGUACGUCCCUCAUAAACAUGCUAGCGUAGGGGAGCAGCCGGGGCCCAGGGUUUCACUAAGUUGCCCUGACUGGCCUCAAACUUGAGAUCCUCCUGCCUCAGCCUCCCACCAUAACUGGGAUUACUGACAUGCACCACUGCACCCAGUGGGGAGUCGGCCCUGUCCCCCUGUCCUCCCCCAGCAUGGGCUCCCUGUGUCCUGUGCUUGCCGGGCAGGCGCCUGUGUCCCGAUGACCGUCCUGGCGGCUGUCCUGCCCUGCCACCCCCACCCCCCCGACGGCUGGGACCUGAAGCCCACGGAGCUGACUGUGAACCUGGUGUGGCAGAGACACGGACAGAGGGAAGGACAGGGGCAGCAGGCCACCCAGCUGUGCCCCAGCCGGGACACCAAAGAGGAGCGGGACACAGGCUGGGGAGCCACCAUGCCAGCACCAUCUCGACAAGAAGCCUGUGUGGCCUGGUCCUGUCCUGGGCUCCGAGUGGCACGGGGGACUGGGACUGGACCCUCCCAGACCAGGGGCCACACCCGUGUCGCAAGGAGCUGCACUGGCCCUGCAUGCUCUGGGACCUGCCUUGCAUGGGCCAUGGGGCCCGCUGGGUGACGUCAGUGGGACAGAGGCCACUUCCUGUGACUGCUGGCAGAGCCGCCCGACGAUGAUGUCCGGCAUCACCUCCCAGGAUGGGGGUCUGUAUUCAGAGCCCUCGAAUUUAACAAGAGC